rnacentral:rRNA from 1 species
AGAGUUUGAUCCUGGCUCAGGAUGAACGCUGGCGGCGUGCCUAAUACAUGCAAGUCGAGCGAACGGACGAGAAGCUUGCUUCUCUGAUGUUAGCGGCGGACGGGUGAGUAACACGUGGAUAACCUACCUAUAAGACUGAGAUAACUUCGGGAAACCGGAGCUAAUACCGGAUAAUAUUUUGAACCGCAUGGUUCAAAAGUGAAAGACGGUCUUGCUGUCACUUAUAGAUGGAUCCGCGCUGCAUUAGCUAGUUGGUAAGGUAACGGCUUACCAAGGCAACGAUGCAUAGCCGACCUGAGAGGGUGAUCGGCCACACUGGAACUGAGACACGGUCCAGACUCCUACGGGAGGCAGCAGUAGGGAAUCUUCCGCAAUGGGCGAAAGCCUGACGGAGCAACGCCGCGUGAGUGAUGAAGGUCUUCGGAUCGUAAAACUCUGUUAUUAGGGAAGAACAUAUGUGUAAGUAACUGUGCACAUCUUGACGGUACCUAAUCAGAAAGCCACGGCUAACUACGUGCCAGCAGCCGCGGUAAUACGUAGGUGGCAAGCGUUAUCCGGAAUUAUUGGGCGUAAAGCGCGCGUAGGCGGUUUUUUAAGUCUGAUGUGAAAGCCCACGGCUCAACCGUGGAGGGUCAUUGGAAACUGGAAAACUUGAGUGCAGAAGAGGAAAGUGGAAUUCCAUGUGUAGCGGUGAAAUGCGCAGAGAUAUGGAGGAACACCAGUGGCGAAGGCGACUUUCUGGUCUGUAACUGACGCUGAUGUGCGAAAGCGUGGGGAUCAAACAGGAUUAGAUACCCUGGUAGUCCACGCCGUAAACGAUGAGUGCUAAGUGUUAGGGGGUUUCCGCCCCUUAGUGCUGCAGCUAACGCAUUAAGCACUCCGCCUGGGGAGUACGACCGCAAGGUUGAAACUCAAAGGAAUUGACGGGGACCCGCACAAGCGGUGGAGCAUGUGGUUUAAUUCGAAGCAACGCGAAGAACCUUACCAAAUCUUGACAUCCUUUGACAACUCUAGAGAUAGAGCCUUCCCCUUCGGGGGACAAAGUGACAGGUGGUGCAUGGUUGUCGUCAGCUCGUGUCGUGAGAUGUUGGGUUAAGUCCCGCAACGAGCGCAACCCUUAAGCUUAGUUGCCAUCAUUAAGUUGGGCACUCUAAGUUGACUGCCGGUGACAAACCGGAGGAAGGUGGGGAUGACGUCAAAUCAUCAUGCCCCUUAUGAUUUGGGCUACACACGUGCUACAAUGGACAAUACAAAGGGCAGCGAAACCGCGAGGUCAAGCAAAUCCCAUAAAGUUGUUCUCAGUUCGGAUUGUAGUCUGCAACUCGACUACAUGAAGCUGGAAUCGCUAGUAAUCGUAGAUCAGCAUGCUACGGUGAAUACGUUCCCGGGUCUUGUACACACCGCCCGUCACACCACGAGAGUUUGUAACACCCGAAGCCGGUGGAGUAACCUUUUAGGAGCUAGCCGUCGAAGGUGGGACAAAUGAUUGGGGUGAAGUCGUAACAAGGUAGCCGUAUCGGAAGGUGCGGCUGGAUCACCU